GGGACCUGCAAAGGAAGUCUAAACCGGAGGUGGGGUUGCUCCGGCAAGACCCUCUGACGCUCAAGUCAGUUCUCUGCCUCAACAAGAAUGGAGUGCUCCAACGGAGAAUUUAGCAGAGUUUUUAGAUAAAAAAGACGAGAGCUUAGAGAAUAACGUAUCUGGGGUCCCCCCUUUUUAUAGACGGAGGGUGCCACAGACUGAUAGCGACGUUCGUAACCGUCUGGUAGUGGGCUGCCCAGGGUCAGGUGGAGUUUGCUGCGAAGAGUAGUGGGGUGGACCCGUGGCUAUCACCGGGGCGCGCCACGUGGAGUCUGUCGUGGGGAGUGGAGCAGCGUCUGUUGUCACGACUUGCCAGCGGAUGGGAGAAUCGCGCGGUAUCCGUCGCAGGAAGUGGAGCAGG
rnacentral:lncRNA from 1 species